UUUAUUUCAUUCUUAGACUCAACAUUAACAAAUUGCUACAAAAGUUUCUAAAGGAUUACUCCCAAAGUCUGUGCUUACCAUGCUACAGACCAUUAGCAAACAGAUCACAAAUUGGCCCUGCUCUACAGGCCAGUUUGAGCAGUGCUGUGCUAUAUCCCUGCAUGUCUCUCUGCCUUUAAGACAGUGUAUGUAGUGUGUUCUCUUUUCCAGAGCCUUUUUGCCAAAUAGUGUAAUAUUCAUUUUGAAAAGACAAGUUGCCCCAUUCACAGUAAGACUCAGAAUUCACUCAUAUUGUUAGUUUUGUUUUUCAAAUAAGAAAAUUUGAUUCCAAAGACUGUAAAGUGCCCACCAACCCUGACAUUUAUCGUUUACCUAUUUUACAGCAUCCUCAGCCACAGGAUUUCAAGGCUGGAAAGUUACUAAUGUAGCCAACAAAUUGUGGGUAAUACACAUCACAUCUCUUUGGCUUCCACAUGCAAUUCCCUCUGAGAAAAUUAUUAUUCACUAGGCUCUAAGGGUUUGGUGACAGAAGCAUCCAUCCACAUAAGAUGUGACUUGCUCCUCUUUGCCUUCCACCAUGAUUGUGAGGCCUCUGCAGCCAUGUGGAACUGUAAGUCCAUUAAACCUUUUUCUUUUGUAAAUUCCCCAGUCUCAGGUAUGUCUUUAUUAGCAGCAUGAAAAUGAACUAAUACACCCUGUUUGCUAUUUAAAUAUCUGUCAAUGGAAAAUUAUGUCCUGACAAGUUUUUCAUCGCCUAACACUACCCCAAAUGCUUUGAAUUGUGCUAGACUUCAGGAUAAAUAACAGAGAAUUUCGACAAAGACAAUGGGUUAU
rnacentral:lncRNA from 1 species